rnacentral:rRNA from 1 species
GACGAACGCUGGCGGCGUGCCUAAUACAUGCAAGUUGAGCGAUGAAGAUUGGUGCUUGCACCAAUUUGAAGAGCAGCGAACGGGUGAGUAACGCGUGGGGAAUCUGCCUUUGAGCGGGGGACAACAUUUGGAAACGAAUGCUAAUACCGCAUAACAACUUUAAACAUAAGUUUUAAGUUUGAAAGAUGCAAUGCCAUCCCUCAAGAUGAUUCCCGCGUUGUAUUGGCUAGUGGGUGAGGUAAAGGCCCACCAAGGCGAUGAUACAUAGCCGACCUGAGAGGGUGAUCGGCCACAUUGGGACUGAGACACGGCCCAAACUCCUACGGGAGGCAGCAGUAGGGAAUCUUCGGCAAUGGACGAAAGUCUGACCGAGCAACGCCGCGUGAGUGAAGAAGGUUUUCGGAUCGUAAAACUCUGUUGGUAGAGAAGAACGUUGGUGAGAGUGGAAAGCUCAUCAAGUGACGGUAACUACCCAGAAAGGGACGGCUAACUACGUG